rnacentral:rRNA from 1 species
UGGUCAUUUUAGAGGAAGUAAAAGUCGUAACAAGGUUUCCGUAGGUGAACCUGCGGAAGGAUCAUUAACGAAUUGUAAUGGAGGUUGAUGCUGGCGGCUUUCAUUGGCUGCAUGUGCUCGCUUCCAACAAUCUUAUCCAAACACCUGUGCACUCACUGGGUUUUCCGAGCAAGAUUCUCGGAUUUCCCUUCUUUUACAUACACUACUCGUAAUGUUGAACGUGCUUAUGCCGUCAUGGCUAUAACAUAAUACAACUUUUGACAACGGAUCUCUUGGCUCUCGCAUCGAUGAAGAACGCAGCGAAAUGCGAUAAGUAAUGUGAAUUGCAGAAUUCAGUGAAUCAUCGAAUCUUUGAACGCACCUUGCGCUCCCUGGUAUUCCGGGGAGCACGCCUGUUCGAGUGUCGUGAAAUUAUCAAGCUAGGAUGAUUUUGCUAUCUUCCUAGCCUUGGUCAUUGGGCUCUGCCGUGCCUAUUCAUUGGGAACGGCUGGCCUUAAAAAUAUUAGCUGACUCUUAUGGUUGUUGGUUAUACUUGGCGUGAUAAUGUCUAUGACCGCUGAGGAACGUCCUUUGGGAUGGCCAAUUCUUAUCAGAGUCGCUUCUAAUCUUGCAUUAUGGGUUCUCUGAAUCUGUUCUGCUUUCAAUUUUGGCCUCGAAUCAGGUGGGACUACCCGCUGAACUUAAGCAUAUCAAUAAG